GAUGAACGCUGGCGGCGUGCCUAAUACAUGCAAGUCGAGCGAACGGACGAGAAGCUUGCUUCUCUGAUGUUAGCGGCGGACGGGUGAGUAACACGUGGAUAACCUACCUAUAAGACUGGGAUAACUUCGGGAAACCGGAGCUAAUACCGGAUAAUAUUUUGAACCGCAUGGUUCAAAAGUGAAAGACGGUCUUGCUGUCACUUAUAGAUGGAUCCGCGCUGCAUUAGCUAGUUGGUAAGGUAACGGCUUACCAAGGCAACGAUGCAUAGCCGACCUGAGAGGGUGAACGGCCACACUGGAAUUGAGACACGGUCCAGACUCCUACGGGAGGCAGCAGUAGGGAAUCUUCCGCAAUGGGCGAAAGCCUGACGGAGCAACGCCGCGUGAGUGAUGAAGGUCUUCGGAUCGUAAAACUCUGUUAUUAGGGAAGAACAUAUGUGUAAGUAACUGUGCACAUCUUGACGGUACCUAAUCAGAAAGCCACGGCUAACUACGUG
rnacentral:rRNA from 1 species